CCAAAGUUAAUGAGGUCGAGGUGUAACAGCAACACUUAGUGGGAUUCUAAGGCUCAGUUGGUGGGAUUCCAGCAAGUUCUUAGUGGGAAGCUGGGUUUAUAUCUUCUUCUUCUUCAUUCUUUCUUUUCUUAUUCCUCAAGUACAGUU